rnacentral:rRNA from 1 species
UACGUAGGGGGCGAGCGUUGUCCGGAUUCAUUGGGCGUAAAGGGCGCGUAGGCGGUUUGACAAGUCUGAUGUGAAAUCUAUGGGCUCAACCCAUAGCCUGCAUUAGAAACUGUCGGGCUUGAGUAUGGGAGAGGUGAGUGGAAUUUCCGGUGUAGCGGUGAAAUGCGUAGAUAUCGGAAGGAACACCUGUGGCGAAAGCGGCUCACUGGACCAUAACUGACGCUGAGGCGCGAAAGCUAGGGGAGCAAACAGG